AGGACGAACGCUGGCGGCGUGCUUAACACAUGCAAGUCGAGCGGUAAGGCCUUUCGGGGUACACGAGCGGCGAACGGGUGAGUAACACGUGGUGAUCUGCCCUGCACUUCGGGAUAAGCCUGGGAAACUGGGUCUAAUACCGGAUAUGACCUCCUAUCGCAUGGUGGGUGGUGGAAAGUAUUUAUCGGUGCAGGAUCGGGCCCGCGGCCUAUCAGCUUGGUUGGUGGGUAAUGGCCUACAAGGCGACGACGGGUAGCCGACCUGAGAGGGUGACCGGCCACACUGGACUAAGACACGGCCAGACUCCGUACGGGAGGCAGCAGGUAGGGAAUAUGCGAACAAGUGGGACGAAAGUCCAGAC
rnacentral:rRNA from 1 species